rnacentral:lncRNA from 1 species
UGCAAUUUCAUUGGAUAUAUACAGAAUUUGAUUGUUCUCAGGGUAGCAUUAAAUAUGUCAGUAAAAUAAAGAUUUAUCAUCAAUUAUCAGCAAUUAAAACUGUGUGGUCUUGUUUAUUGAUACUUUUCACAUGACUGGUAUAUAUGGGGAAAAGUGCAACCCUUGUCCCUUCCAAGCCUUCUCAUGCUUCUUGCUGAUGUGAAAUUUUAAAAGAACAUGUUAAUUUAAAAUCCAUGUUUUAAUAAAUGUAUUUUUACUGUAAAUUAAUAUGGUGAGUAUGGCUAACACGUUUUAAACAUCUCACUAUAAAUAAACAUUUUUAAUGUAAAAAAAUCAAGUCUAAAUGAUGAAUUUGGUGUAAAAAUCUUUAUAGAAUGUAUCCUCACUGAUGUUUAUUUAUCAAAUUCUGAAAUCGUCCUGCAACUAAUAAUGAAGUGUCUACAAAUCUAUCCACACAAUUACAUAAACAUGUUUCUGUACGUCCGUCCAUUUUUUCUCUUGGUUUGUCUACACAUAGAUCCCAACAGACGUCAUUUAGUUUGUGUAUUUGUUGUUGAAGUUGUGCCUUCUGUGAUUCCAUUUCUAAGAAUGAUUUCAUUUCUGAAUCCACUUGUCCUUGACCUCCUGGUGGUGGAGCACCAAAUGAUGAUGGUGGUGGCUUUCCAAAUGAAGAAGCACCAAAUCCUGUAUCGUAGCUCAUCGUUCUUAUAAAUCAACUUUUGAUUCUGUUGGCUAAUGAGGUUUAUAUCUGAAAGACGAAAAAAGUUUGUUAAGAUCUG